rnacentral:rRNA from 1 species
UACGGAGGGGACUAGCGUUGUCCGGAAUUAUUGGGCGUAAAGAGCUUGUAGGCGGUUUGUCGCGUCUGCUGUGAAAAUCCGGGGCUCAACCCCGGACUUGCAGUGGGUACGGGCAGACUAGAGUGUGGUAGGGGAGACUGGAAUUCCUGGUGCAGCGGUGGAAUGCGCAGAUAUCAGGAGGAACACCGAUGGCGAAGGCAGGUCUCUGGGCCACUACUGACGCUGAGAAGCGAAAGCAUGGGGAGCGAACAGG